rnacentral:rRNA from 1 species
GACGAACGCUGGCGGCGUGCUUAACACAUGCAAGUCGAACGGUAAGGCCUUCGGGUACACGAGUGGCGAACGGGUGAGUAACACGUGGGUGAUCUGCCCCCUACUCUGGGAUAAGCCUGGGAAACUGGGUCUAAUACCGGAUAUGACCUCCUUCUGCAUGGUUGGUGGUGGAAAGUUUUUUCGGUAGGGGAUGAGCCCGCGGCCUAUCAGCUUGUUGGUGGGGUAAUGGCCUACCAAGGCGACGACGGGUAGCCGGCCUGAGAGGGCGACCGGCCACACUGGGACUGAGACACGGCCCAGACUCCUACGGGAGGCAGCAGUGGGGAAUAUUGCACAAUGGGCGAAAGCCUGAUGCAGCGACGCCGCGUGGGGGAUGACGGCCUUCGGGUUGUAAACCCCUUUCAGUCGGGACGAAGCGAGAGUGACGGUACCGAUAGAAGGAGCACCGGCCAACUACGUGCCAGCCGCCGCCGUAAUAC